UACGAACCGUCCAAACGUUAUUCGGAAUUACUGGGCUUAAAGGGUACGUAGGCGGCGCUGUUAGUCGGGUGUGAAAGCCCUCGGCUCAACCGAGGAAUUGCGCCCGAUACUGCAGUGCUCGAGGGAGACAGAGGUAAGCGGAACUGAUGGUGGAGCGGUGAAAUGCGUUGAUAUCAUCAGGAACACCAGUGGCGAAAGCAGCUUACUGGGUCUCUUCUGACGCUGAGGUACGAAAGCUAGGGGAGCGAAGGGG
rnacentral:misc_RNA from 1 species